AGUGAACGCUGGCGGUAGGCCUAACACAUGCAAGUCGAACGGCAGCACAGUAAGAGCUUGCUCUUACGGGUGGCGAGUGGCGGACGGGUGAGGAAUACAUCGGAAUCUACUUUUUCGUGGGGGAUAACGUAGGGAAACUUACGCUAAUACCGCAUACGACCUACGGGUGAAAGCAGGGGAUCUUCGGACCUUGCGCGAUUGAAUGAGCCGAUGUCGGAUUAGCUAGUUGGCGGGGUAAAGGCCCACCAAGGCGACGAUCCGUAGCUGGUCUGGGAGGAUGAUCAGCCACACUGGAACUGAGACACGGUCCAGACUCCUACGGGAGGCAGCAGUGGGGAAUAUUGGACAAUGGGCGCAAGCCUGAUCCAGCCAUACCGCGUGGGUGAAGAAGGCUUCGGGUUGUAAAGCCCUUUUGUUGGGAAAGAAAAGCAGCAGGUUAAUACCCCGCUGUUCUGACGGUACCCAAAGAAUAAGCACCGGCUAACUUCGUG
rnacentral:rRNA from 1 species